rnacentral:rRNA from 1 species
GUUAUAUGGUUAAGUGAAUAAGUGCAUACGGUGGAUGCCUUGGCGACAACAGGCGAUGAAGGACGUGAAAAUCUGCGAAAAGCCACGGGGAGCUGAUAAUAGGCAUUAUAUCCGUGGAUAUCCGAAUGGGGAAACCCACCGCUUCGGCGGUAUCCCAUGCUGAAUACAUAGGCAUGUGGAGGCGAACCCGGGGAACUGAAACAUCUAAGUACCCGGAGGAAAAGAAAUCAACCGAGAUUCUGUUAGUAGCGGCGAGCGAACGCGGAGUAGCCCUUAAGGUUGUAUUAAGUUAGUGGAAGCUUCUGGGAAGUGGCGCGAUACAGGGUGAUAGCCCCGUACACGAAAACUUUUUACAGCUGAAAUCGAGUAGGACGGGACACGUGAAAUCCUGUUUGAAUAUGGGGGGACCAUCCUCCAAGGCUAAAUACUCGUUGUCGACCGAUAGUGAACCAGUACCGUGAGGGAAAGGCGAAAAGAACCCCUGUGAGGGGAGUGAAAUAGAACCUGAAACCGUAUGCAUACAAGCAGUGGGAGCAUCCAUGUGAUGUGACUGCGUACCUUUUGUAUAAUGGGUCAGCGACUUAAUUUCAGUAGCGAGCUUAACCGGAUAGGGGAGGCGUAGCGAAAGCGAGUCUUAAUAGGGCGUAUAGUUGCUGGGAUUAGACCCGAAACCGGGCGAUCUAGCCAUGGGCAGGUUGAAGGUUGAGUAACAUCAACUGGAGGACCGAACCCACUAAUGUUGAAAAAUUAGGGGAUGACCUGUGGCUUGGAGUGAAAGGCUAAACAAGCUCGGAGAUAGCUGGUUCUCCUCGAAAGCUAUUGAGGUAGCGCCUUGUGGUGACACUGUUGGGGGUAGAGCACUGUUAUGGCUAGGGGGUCAUACCGAUUUACCAAACCAUUGCAAACUCCGAAUACCAACAAGUGAUACACAGGAGACACACGGCGGGUGCUAACGUCCGUCGUGGAGAGGGAAACAACCCAGACCGUCAGCUAAGGUCCCAAAGUUUGUGUUAAGUGGGAAACGAUGUGGGAAGGCAUAGACAGCUAGGAGGUUGGCUUAGAAGCAGCCAUCCUUUAAAGAAAGCGUAAUAGCUCACUAGUCGAGUCGUCCUGCGCGGAAGAUUUACCGGGGCUCAAACACAACACCGAAGCUACGGGAUGUCAUUAGACAUCGGUAGAGGAGCGUUCUGUAGGCUGAUGAAGGUGUCUCGUAAGGGAUGCUGGAGGUAUCAGAAGUGCGAAUGCUGACAUAAGUAACGAUAAAGGGAGUGAAAAACUCCCUCGCCGAAAACCCAAGGUUUCCUACGCAACGUUAAUCGGCGUAGGGUUAGUCGGCCCCUAAGGCGAGGCAGAAAUGCGUAGUCGAUGGGAAUCAGGUUAAUAUUCCUGGACUUUUAAUUACUGCGAUGGGGGGACGGAGAAAGCUAAACCAGAACACUAUCGGAUGUGUAUCUAAGCAGGUAGGCAGAAUCUUUAGGCAAAUCCGGAGAUUUAAUGCUGAGAUGUGAUGGCGACGAUUAUUGCAAUCGGAGUGGUUGAUGCUAUGCUUCCAAGAAAAGCCUCUAAGCUUCAGGUAAUUAAGAACCGUACCCCAAACCGACACAGGUGGGUGGGAUGAGAAUUCUAAGGCGCUUGAGAGAACUCGGGUGAAGGAACUCGGCAAAAUGGUACCGUAACUUCGGGAGAAGGUACGCCCCUGAUGGUGAAUGAAUACUCAGUAAGCUAUUGGGGGCCGCAGAGACCAGGUGGCUGCGACUGUUUAUCAAAAACACAGCACUCUGCAAACACGAAAGUGGACGUAUAGGGUGUGACGCCUGCCCGGUGCCGGAAGGUUAAUUGAUGGGGUGCAAGCUCUUGAUCGAAGCCCCGGUAAACGGCGGCCGUAACUAUAACGGUCCUAAGGUAGCGAAAUUCCUUGUCGGGUAAGUUCCGACCUGCACGAAUGGCGUAACGAUGGCCACACUGUCUCCACCCGAGACUCAGUGAAAUUGAAAUCGCGGUUAAGAUGCCGUGUACCCGCACCAAGACGGAAAGACCCCGUGCACCUUUACUAUAGCUUGGCACUGAACUUUGCACCUACAUGUGUAGGAUAGCUGGGAGGCUUUGAAGUGGGGACGCUAGUUCUCAUGGAGCCGUCGUUGAAAUACCAGCCUUGUAUGUGUGGAGUUCUAACUUAGGUCCGUCAUCCGGAUCGAGGACAGUGUCUGGUGGGUAGUUUGACUGGGGCGGUCUCCUCCUAAAGCGUAACGGAGGAGCACGAAGGUAACCUAAUCACGGUCGGAAAUCGUGAGGUUUGUGCAAAGGCAUAAGGUUGCUUGACUGCGAGACAGACAAGUCGAGCAGGUACGAAAGUAGGUCUUAGUGAUCCGGUGGCUCUGUAUGGAAGGGCCAUCGCUCAACGGAUAAAAGGUACGCCGGGGAUAACAGGCUGAUACUGCCCAAGAGUUCAUAUCGACGGCAGUGUUUGGCACCUCGAUGUCGGCUCAUCACAUCCUGGGGCUGUAGCAGGUCCCAAGGGUAUGGCUGUUCGCCAUUUAAAGUGGUACGCGAGCUGGGUUCAGAACGUCGUGAGACAGUUCGGUCCCUAUCUGGUGUGGGCGUUGGAGAUUUGAGGGAAGCUGCUCUUAGUACGAGAGGACCGGAGUGGACGAACCACUGGUGUUCCAGUUGUAUCGCCAGAUGCAUUGCUGGGUAGCUACGUUCGGACGGGAUAACCGCUGAAAGCAUCUAAGCGGGAAGCCCCUCCCAAGAUAAGAUCUCCCUAGACCCUUGAGGUCUCUAAAGAUCCGUUGUAGACCACAACGUUGAUAGGCUCCGUGUGGAAGUGCAGUAAUGUAUGCAGCUAAGGAGUACUAAUUGAUCGUGAGGCUUAACCAUAUAACGCUUA